CACGUAGGGUGCGAGCGUGUCCGGAAUUAUUGGGCGUAAAGAGCUCGUAGGCGGUCUGUCGCGUCGGUCGUGAAAACCUGCAGCUUAACUGUGGGCUUGCGGUCGAUACGGGCAUGACUGGAGUUCGGCAGGGGAGACUGGAAUUCCUGGUGUAGCGGUGAAAUGCGCAGAUAUCAGGAGGAACACCGGUGGCGAAGGCGGGUCUCUGGGCCGAUACUGACGCUGGAGGAGCGAA
rnacentral:rRNA from 1 species